rnacentral:rRNA from 1 species
UAGGGAAUCUUGCGCAAUGGGCGAAAGCCUGAAGCAGCCAUGCCGCGUGAAUGAUGAAGGUCUUAGGAUUGUAAAAUUCUUUCACCGGGGACGAUAAUGACGGUACCCGGAGAAGAAGCCCAGGCUAACUACGUGC